AGCGGCAAAGUGUCUUCUAGGACCUCCUGGUUCUCCUUCCCGGUGAAGCAUGUGCCCGAUGCCUGCUCACAGAAGCUGCCCUCCUGGCCCGGGAGUCACCACUGAGACCUCCGCAGGGGAAGCUGAUGCACAAAGCCACGUCUGCCACGUUGAUUAAGGAAACCCACUCAAAGCAGAGAGAGCGGGAGAGUGAGCCCUGUUGUCCAUUGGCCUCGACGUAUGCCAGCCCACUGUGGCUGGCUUCGUCUACACCCCACCCACUUCCUCACUGGGUUAUUUUAAGCCAGUCCCAGACAUCGUAUUGUUUUAUCCCUAAUAUUUCAGAAAGUAUUUAUGAAAGAUAAGAGCUGAGCACAACUCCCAUGCACCACAAUUCCAUAUUUGCACUUAAAAUAAUUGCCGGUGACCCCUUGGGGUCACCAGACGUCAGAGCUCACGCUUCCCUGCUGGCUCUGCAACAUUUCUAAGUAGUUGUGUUUUCCAGUGAGGACCUCCAAGGCUGUUUUAAUCUUUCCGUCUCCUCCCCUCCCUUCCUUUAUGAUUUAUUUGUCUUUCCUCCCAAGGCUUCCCGGGAGGGUGGUGCCGCUGCUGCUGUUGUGUGCAGGUAGGGCCUAGCCAGGCACACGGCUCCCGUAGGCUCUGCACUCCCACCAGGACCCGGCCCGCUGGCCACCCCGGGUCCAUUAUUAGCUGUAUCCCCUCUGAAGAGAGAUGCCCCUUUGUCAACUGUCUAGCCACCCUGAGAGCAGUCUGCCUGGGAAAGGCAGGAAAAUGCUUUCUUCUUUCCCUUGAUUUGCCAGCUCUCAGAAAAGCAAGUUAGUUUUUUAGCUUCUGCAAAGGUGACUUACGCUGUUAUCCUUAGGCUCAGUGUGAACUCCUGGACUCUGCUGCGUAUGAUGUGCUUCAGCCCAUUGUGGAGGCUGGGACAGCCGAGGCUAUCCUGUGACGUCUGCUUGCAAGUAUCCAGCACGCACCUCUCUGUCCCUCGAUGGCCCGGCCUGCCUCCCUCCACAUUUGUAUCUUGUGCUGUUGCUUGAUGGGCAACUUUCAAGGUUUAGCAGUUUUCCCUGGUUGGGAUUUUACAGGAGAAAUGGAAUUAGCAGGGUUCCCUCAGAAGAAAACAGGGUUCCUCCUUCUGCCUCAGUUCUGUUUCUCAAACAUUUGACUCCAAGGGCAGAACAAAGAAACUUCUCUUGCCCACUGCCCCACCAUGGCUUCUUCUCACAGGGAGAUGUCCUCGUUUUGCAACUCAACACACUUGUGUCAAAGCAGAGGGACCAGGGACAGAGGCUGGGAGAUGAGGGAGCGGCCGCAGGGGUGCCUGUGCUUGGCCCCUCCUUCUUGCAAAGUCUGGGUGUGGUUCCUAACAGUCGGGGCCGCCCCUUCUCACACACACCUGCUGUGGCUGCAGCCAGGAACCCUGGUGCCCUGGGUGGGCACCCGGCCCCAUCCACACCGGUCACAGGUGCUCUGCCUGAGAAGAAAGCCGGGCAGGGCCCUGGGGGCAGGCAUGAAGCUGCAGGCAGGGAACCUGGGGUACCGAGACCUAGAGCGCUGUCUGGAGGGUCGGAGGUGGAGUGUUCUCCACUCAGGAAUCUGUCAGCUUCACAACAACACUCAGGAUCUGCCACUCAUUGCAGCUGGCGGAAGCCUGCCAACUUCCUCUUCCUCUGCUGUCACAGACCAUCGCCCUUCGCCCUGGGCAAGAGGCCCUCUGAGCAUAGCUCCCGAGGCAGAGGAAGGCCAAGUCUGCAGCUGGGCAGGGCCCAGGAGAACUUCCAGCCGCCAGCCAUGGCCCCUCCCUGUGACCCCCCUCCCCUGGGCCACAGUGGACUGGGCACUGCCCUCGCCCCCCAGGGAUCCAUGUGCAGGGCAGAGGGCAGGGGGCCCUGGCUCAGUGGCAGGGUGCAGGCCAUCGAGUCUGGAGACAUUGCUGCAGCCUUCUGGGGCUGAAGGGUUCUCUCUGGGCCUCACUGCACAGAGGGCUUCUUCCCAAGCGCCGUGUGCUCCUGAUUUGGGCCCAUCCCCACUCGCCUGCUCCGGGCCCACACGGUGAACCUGGACCUGAGUCCACAACUAGUGUCCUGUCCCCUCAGGUGGUAUCUGCCUGUGACCCGCGUUCUGGGUGCCGGGGCCUCACCUGGGUGGCUCAUGUCUCUGGCUUUGGCUCGGCACAUAUGUGACACCCAGUUAAGUUCUCAUGAAUGAAAAAUUAACACAAAUUUGUCAUUCCACGGUUCUGGAGGGCAGAGGUCUACAAGAAGAGUGUCAGGGGCUGCUUCCUUCUGCGGGUUCUGGGGAGACCACCUUCCCUGACUAUGCCAGCUUGGGUGGACCUGCACCCACGGCCCCUUCCUUAGCCUCACGCCAGCAGCCUCCCUCCUGCCCUCAUAAGGACUGGCCUAAAAUCCUCAAGUCGGCAAGGUAACCCCAGUUCUGGGGAUUCAGGCUGAUGUCUCGAGGGCAUGACUGAUGUCCACAUGAGCCACAUAAAAACCACUGUGUAUAUUCCCACCCUGCACCUUGCCUCCCAGACGGGUCUGUGGGUUGGUGCAUGUGUCAAAAUAGGGUUUGGGUGAACCGUGAAAUGUCAGCCAUAGAACGAAUAAGACAGUAAAACUGACGUGUGUGUGCAAGAACCCAGACAUCCUGAGUGCUGGGUUCCUCCUGUCCACAUCCAUCUGCUGGGUGUGGCGCCAACCAGGGGCAGCCCUGGCUUGGAUUCUGAAGUUCUGAGAGGGCCUCUGCUGGGCCUCCAGCCUUGGGUGGGGACAGAGGCAGGAUUCUGGGGCCCAGGGUCAGAAGUAGGGCUGCUGUUGCCUCUCCCUGACGGUGGGGAGACAGUUCUGGGGAAUUGUCAGCCUCAUCUCUGGACCACCAGCUCCUUUUGGAGCCCUGAAGCUGGAGUCAACGUGGAUUCCCCUCCCCUCUCCCUGCAGGGGAGGGUGCCCCUGGGGCUCCUUCCCUCUGAGACCCCUGCGAGCCCUCCCACCUGCCUCUACCCAGGACUGUCGCCUACCAAGCUGCAGCCUGAAUUCCCUCCCGGUUCUCUUGCUCAUUCACCCAUUCAGUGAUGACUUAUCAAGUUCACAUUAUCUUCCAGGAACCAAGGAAGAUGCUGGAGAUGAGGGUCAAAAGUUAAACAAAAUAUAUAAAUAUAGGGCCUUUCUCAUUGAGUUUACCUUUGUUCUCAUGGGGCAAAUAUAAUAUACAACUGGAAGGUAGGCUGCGUGCCAGAUGGACGAAGGACUUUGGAAUCUGCAUAUCCCAGUGGGUGCCAGCCUUCCUUCCCUCUUUCCUGAGGGUGAAGGGAAGCUCCUGGGGGAGGAGUGGCAGCCCUCAGAGCUGGCCAGGAGGGCAUUGCCAUGGGGAGGCCCCAGGACAGUGAGGGCCAGGUGGGGGCUGCACCAGCCUGGCCAAAUUUUUGGGGGGACAUGGCAGCAGCCAGGAGUUGGGGCUGGGGCAGGGUCUCUGGUGGUCUUGACAGGAUGUGGACCAGGCAGUGGUCUGGGAAGAGCUGAUCAGACUCAGAAAUGGUGAAGGGCUCAUUUUGGGUUAGACGCUUUUGAGAAGCCUGUGGCUUACUGUUUCAGUGGUAACAGGCCACCAGGCAAUGAGGCCUGCCAGUUCUGGGGGCAGGAGCCUGAGACCCCAGGGCCAUGCAGUCGGCUCUCAGGACGGUCCCCUUCCUCGCUGCCCUGAGGGUUUUGUCUCUCAAGGAGCCUUGGUCACCUGCUCACCCCCUGGAGGACGUCCUGGUUGCUUCCAAGCUCUGGCAAUGACGAGUAAAAUUGCUAUAAACACCCAUGUGCACAUUUUGUGCGGACACGUUUUCAACUCCUUUGGGUCGAUACCAAGGACCGUGAUUGCUGGAUCGGAUGCUACUCUUAGCAUUGCUUUCUUCUCAAGUUCUCGCAUUUAAAUCUUUGGUCCAUCUGAAAUGUAUUUUAUUACAUGGAAUGAAGAGUAAAGAGUAGGAAUAUGAUUUUUUCCAAUUGGAUAAUCUGUUGCCUUAACAUCAUUUUUUGCUAUGAUAUGUGUUUGGCCCCGUGAGAAGCCACCAGACGGUCUUCCAGGGUGGCUGCACCAUUCUGCUCUCCCUCUGCAGAGUGGGUGAGCUCCUGCUGCUCCUCGUGCUCGCCAGCACUGGGUGCUGUGGGUGUUCUGGAUCGUGGCCAUGCUGGUCUAUGGCAGCGGUGUCCUGCUGUCACGUUAAUCUGCAGUUCCCUGAUGGCAAUGCUGAGGAACACCUUGUCAUGUGCUUAUUUGCCAGUUGUGCACCUGCUUUGGGGAGGUGUCUGUCCAGGUCUUGUAGCCAUUUUUGUUUGGGCUGUUUGUUUUCUUAUUGUUGAGUUUUAAGAGUUCUUUGUAUAUUUUGGAUAUGGGUCUCUUGUCAGAUGUGUCUUUUGCAAAUACUUUCUCCCCGUCUAUGGUUUGUUUUUUCAUUCUCUUAACAGUGUCUUCAUCAGAACAGAAGUCUUUAAUUCCCUACAUUAAAUUCAGUGUCUAAUUCUUUUUUUUUUUUUCUUUUGUGGACGUUAGUUGCUCCAGAUCCAUUUGUUGAAGAGACUGUCCUUUCUCCUCUGUGAAAAAUCAGUGACUAUGUUUGUGUGGCUUCUGUUCCGUUCUACUCAUCUAUUCGUUUGUUCUUUCACCAAUACCAUACGGUCCUGACUACUGUUGCUUCAUCACAAGCCUUGAAGUCAGAUAGUAUCUGUUCUCUGACUUUGUUCUUCUCCGGUAUUUGUGUUGACUAUUCCGGGUCUUGCCAUAUAAACUUUUAAAGCAGCUUGCUGGGAUUUUGAUGGGUAUUGUGUUGAAUCUAUAGACCAAGUUAGAAGGAACCGGCAUCUUCACAAUAUUGAGUCUUCCAGCCCAUGAACACGGAGUAUCUCUCUAUUUAUCUGGAUAUUUUAUUAUUUCUUUCAUCAUAGCUUUUUAGUUUUCCUCAAAUAGAUGUAAUACGUCUAUAUAUUCUGUUAGGUUGUGCCUAAGGAUGGAGCACUCAGAGAUGCUGUGGGUCUGGCUCCAGAUCACCAAUAAAGCAAAUACCUUAGUAAAAUGAGUCAAAUGAGUUUUUUGGUUUCCCAGCGCAUGUAGUUAUGUUUAACUAGUGUAUUAUGUGUGCAAUAGAAUUAUGUCUUAAAAAGCAAUGUACAUACCUUAAAUGAACAGUACUCUAUUGCUAAAGAAGUCUAACCAUCAUCUUAACUCUCAGUGAGUCAUAACCAAUGAUCACUGUAACAAAUAAAAUAAUAAUGAAAAAGUUUGAAAUAUGGCAAGAAUUACCAAAAUGUGACAAAGAGACACAAAGUAAGCAAAUGCUGUUGGAAAAAUGGCCCCAACUGACCUGCUCAUUUCAGGAUUGUCACUAACAAUUUCAAUUUGUAUGAAACGCAGUAUCUACAAAGCUCAAUAAAACAAGUAUGUCUAUAUGUCUCUCUCUCUCUUUUUCUCCUGUGUGUGUGCUAAUGUAAAUGAUGUGUUUUUAUUUUCAAAUUUCAGUUAUUCGUUGCUGGUAUGUAGAAAAACAAUGGACAUUGUUCGUUGUUUCCUGCAACCGUGCUGUCCACGACUUGUAGUGGACAAGUUCCAGGACUUGUAGCCACUGUUAGUGGUUUGGGACUUUCUACCUGGCCAAUCAUGUCAUCUGCAAAUAAAGAUAGUCUUAUUUCUUCCUUUCCAAUUUGUAUAAUUUUUACUUACUUUCCUUGUCUUAUUUGCAUCAUUUAGGACCUCUAGUACAACAUUAACUAGGAGUGGUAAUGGGGACAUCCUUGCCUUGCUCCUGACCGUAGGAGAGAAGCUAGUUUCCCACCAUGAGGUAUGAUGUUAGCUAAAGGUUUUUUUGUAGAUGCUCUUUAUCAAGUUGAAAAGUUCUCUCCUUAAAAAAUCAAAAAAAAAAAAAAAAA
rnacentral:lncRNA from 1 species